UAUCAGGAAUGAUGUACACACCAGGUGCCC
rnacentral:piRNA from 1 species